AGCGCAAGCUACUUAGGCGGAGUUGAAGCUAACAAUACAUUGCAUUAUAGAAUUUACGAUCAUGUUUGAGAAUUGAGUUUGAGAUGAUGUGAUCAAAUGAUAUUGGUUUAUGGGAUUAAGUUAACUUUUUUAGUGAGCUUAGUGAUGCUUCUUGGUAUAAUGUUUAUGAGUAGGCAAGUGGGCUUAAUGCAAAGAAACAGUAUCAAUAAAAGAUAUUAAUAUGUUUGAGAGACAAAUUCAUACUAGACCCCAUUUCAAUUGAAAUUUGGCUAUAUGAGCCUUUAGAAACUGAUAUUGUU
rnacentral:misc_RNA from 1 species